UGCAGUCGAACGGAGUAGCAAUACUUAGUGGCAGACGGGUGAGUAACAUGUGGGUAUCUUCCCUUUGGUGAGGAAUAACACGAGGAAACUUGUGCUAAUACCUCAUAAGUCUUUACGGAGAAAGCUUUAUGCGCCAAUGGAUGAGCCCGCACUUGAUUAGUUUGUUGGUGGGGUAAUGGCCUACCAAGACUUUGAUCAAUAGCUGAUUUGAGAGGAUGAUCAGCCACAUUGGGACUGAGACACGGCCCAAACUCCUACGGGAGGCAGCAGUAGGGAAUCUUGCACAAUGGAGGAAACUCUGAUGCAGCGAUGCCGCGUGAGUGAAGAAGGCCUUUGGGUUGUAAAGCUCUUUCGUCGGGGAAGAAAAUGACUGUACCCGAAUAAGAAGGUCCGGCUAACUUCGUGCCAGCAGCCGCGGUAAUACGAAGGGACCUAGCGUAGUUCGGAAUUACUGGGCUUAAAGAGUUCGUAGGUGGUUAAAAAAGUUGGUGGUGAAAUCCCAGAGCUUAACUCUGGAACUGCCAUCAAAACUUUUUAGCUAGAGUGUGAUAGAGGAAAGCAGAAUUUCUAGUGUAGAGGUGAAAUUCGUAGAUAUUAGAAAGAAUACCAAUUGCGAAGGCAGCUUUCUGGAUCAUUACUGACACUGAGGAACGAAAGCAUGGGUAGCGAAGAGGAUUAGAUACCCUCGUAGUCCAUGCCGUAAACGAUGUGUGUUAGAUGUUGGAAAUUUAUUUUCAGUAUCGCAGCGAAAGCAAUAAACACACCGCCUGGGGAGUACGACCGCAAGGUUAAAACUCAAAUGAAUUGACGGGGACCCGCACAAGUAGUGG
rnacentral:rRNA from 1 species